rnacentral:rRNA from 1 species
UAUGCUUCUUCGGGAGCAGAGACCGGCGCACGGGUGCGUAACGCGUAUGCAAUCUACCUUUCACAGAGGGAUAGCCCAGAGAAAUUUGGAUUAAUACCUCAUAGUAUAGCAGUUUCGCAUGAAACCACUAUUAAAGUCACAACGGUGAAAGAUGAGCAUGCGUCCCAUUAGCUAGUUGGUAAGGUAACGGCUUACCAAGGCAACGAUGGGUAGGGGUCCUGAGAGGGAGAUCCCCCACACUGGUACUGAGACACGGACCAGACUCCUACGGGAGGCAGCAGUGAGGAAUAUUGGACAAUGGGCGCAAGCCUGAUCCAGCCAUGCCGCGUGCAGGAUGACGGUCCUAUGGAUUGUAAACUGCUUUUAUACGAGAAGAAACCCUCCGACGUGUCGGAGCUUGACGGUAUCGUAAGAAUAAGGAUCGGCUAACUCCGUGCCAGCAGCCGCGGUAAUACGGAGGAUCCAAGCGUUAUCCGGAAUCAUUGGGUUUAAAGGGUCCGUAGGCGGUCAGGUAAGUCAGUGGUGAAAGCCCAUCGCUCAACGGUGGAACGGCCAUUGAUACUGUCUGACUUGAAUUAUUAGGAAGUAACUAGAAUAUGUAGUGUAGCGGUGAAAUGCUUAGAGAUUACAUGGAAUACCAAUUGCGAAGGCAGGUUACUACUAAUGGAUUGACGCUGAUGGACGAAAGCGUGGGUAGCGAACAGGAUUAGAUA